rnacentral:rRNA from 1 species
AUGAACGCUAGCGACAGGCUUAACACAUGCAAGUCGAGGGGCAGCACAGGUAGCAAUACCGGGUGGCGACCGGCGCACGGGUGAGUAACGCGUAUGCAACUUACCUAUCAGAGGGGGAUAACCCGGCGAAAGUCGGACUAAUACCGCAUGAAGCAGGGGCCCCGCAUGGGGAUAUUUGCUAAAGAUUCAUCGCUGAUAGAUAGGCAUGCGUUCCAUUAGGCAGUUGGCGGGGUAACGGCCCACCAAACCGACGAUGGAUAGGGGUUCUGAGAGGAAGGUCCCCCACAUUGGUACUGAGACACGGACCAAACUCCUACGGGAGGCAGCAGUGAGGAAUAUUGGUCAAUGGGCGUAAGCCUGAACCAGCCAAGUCGCGUGAGGGAUGAAGGUUCUAUGGAUCGUAAACCUCUUUUAUAAGGGAAUAAAGUGCGGGACGUGUCCCGUUUUGUAUGUACCUUAUGAAUAAGGAUCGGCUAACUCCGUGCCAGCAGCCGCGGUAAUACGGAGGAUCCGAGCGUUAUCCGGAUUUAUUGGGUUUAAAGGGUGCGUAGGCGGCCUUUUAAGUCAGCGGUGAAAGUCUGUGGCUCAACCAUAGAAUUGCCGUUGAAACUGGGGGGCUUGAGUAUGUUUGAGGCAGGCGGAAUGCGUGGUGUAGCGGUGAAAUGCUUAGAUAUCACGCAGAACCCCGAUUGCGAAGGCAGCCUGAGAAGCCAUGACUGACGCUGAUGCACGAUAGCGUGGGGAUCAAACAGGAGGAGAUACCUUGGUAGUCCGCGCUGUAAGCGAUGAUCACUAGCUGUUUGCGAUACAGUGUAAGCGGCACAGCGAAAGCGUUAAGUGAUCCACCUGGGGAGUACGCCGGCAACGGUGAAACUCAAAGGAAUUGACGGGGGCCCGCACAAGCGGAGGAACAUGUGGUUUAAUUCGAUGAUACGCGAGGAACCUUACCCGGGUUUGAACGCAUUCGGACCGAGGUGGAAACACCUUUUCUAGCAAUAGCCGUUUGCGAGGUGCUGCAUGGUUGUCGUCAGCUCGUGCCGUGAGGUGUCGGCUUAAGUGCCAUAACGAGCGCAACCCUUGCCACUAGUUACUAACAGGUAAAGCUGAGGACUCUGGUGGGACUGCCAGCGUAAGCUGCGAGGAAGGCGGGGAUGACGUCAAAUCAGCACGGCCCUUACAUCCGGGGCGACACACGUGUUACAAUGGCGUGGACAAAGGGAUGCCACCUGGCGACAGGGAGCGAAUCCCCAAACCACGUCUCAGUUCGGAUCGGAGUCUGCAACCCGACUCCGUGAAGCUGGAUUCGCUAGUAAUCGCGCAUCAGCCAUGGCGCGGUGAAUACGUUCCCGGGCCUUGUACACACCGCCCGUCAAGCCAUGGGAGCCGGGGGUACCUGAAGUCCGUAACCGCGAGGAUCGGCCUAGGGUAAAACUGGUGACUGGGGCU